GACCGCGUAGUGUAGUGGUUAUCACGUUUCGUUUACACCGAAAAGGUCGCCGGUUCGAUCCCGGCCGUGGUCA